rnacentral:lncRNA from 1 species
AACAAGAAUUUAUCAUCCAAAUAUUAACAGUAAUGGCAGCAUUUGUCUUGAUAUUCUACGGUCACAGUGGUCUCCAGCACUAACUAUUUCAAAAGUACUUUUGUCCAUCUGUUCUCUGUUGUGUGAUCCCAAUCCAGAUGAUCCUUUAGUGCCUGAGAUUGCUCGGAUCUACAAAACAGAUAGAGAAAAUACACUGUAGCUGUCUUCAGACACACCAGAAGAGGGCAUCAGAUCUUACUACAGAUGGUUGUGAGUCACCAUGUGGUUGCUGGGAAUUGAACUCAGAACCUCUGGAAGAGCAGCCAGUGCUCUUAACCCCUGAGCCAUCUCUCCAGCACCUCAUUUUUUAAAAAAUAAAAUUUAUUGCCUAG